UGACAGAAAGCUCACGUGCGAGAGCUACGCCUGCAUCUGCCACCAGAUGCUGGACUCUUCCCAAACUUCAGGUGGGGUUCCAGCAAGCUCUCCUCUCCCAGCAACCUGCACCAGACACAAAGAGGCCCGAAGCCUGACUUGGGGAAUUCUAUUUGCUGCUGAAGCUACUGCCGCUGAAGUGGGCUUGAGUUCAGAUCAGCGUGAGAGGAACACUAGUCAGAAAGGGCACAGCCUGGGGGCAGAGAUGGAGACUCUGACAGGUGAAAUGGCAGGAUGGACCUGGAGGUGGUGAUCCCAGGAGAGGUCCUGAGCUGGAGAGGAUGCCGAGCAUACCAGUUUGUGACUCCUUCGGCUUGCCUUGAGCUUCUUAGUAGAUUUCAGGCCAGGAGAAGACAACUCUCUGGAUCCACAGCCCAUCAGUGAUUGUGACCAGAGCCUCCACAUCACACACUGCCUGAGGAUCCCAGGAGCUUGGGGAGCAACGGCUAUGGCAGUCCCGGGCUGUGUGGCUUCAUGCUGAGAACCCAUGCCUCCACUUGAUGCAAAGCCUCAAAGAACAUGACACUCUCUUGAAGUGUGAAGAGAGGAGGAAUGUUUCAAUUUGGAAGAAAUCAUUAAACUACAGAUGCAGAUUUCUAGGCUCAGGAUUGAGAGUCUAUGGUGCUUUAUUGCUUCUAUCCUGGGGAGGGGAGAGAAGGUGGAAGGAGCUGCUCCCUGAGGAGAAGGUGGGACUUGAAGACCCACUGUAGGCAGAACUACCAGUUCAGAGACAUGGACUCCAACCAUGGAGUGUCUGCCUGCUUCCGUGACCCCCAGCACCGUGUCCAGGCUAUGCUCCUUCCCUUUGAGGGCAUUUUCCUCUACUUUCUGCUUCCAGUGCCAUCAUCAGAAUGCUACUGGCCACCUACAAUGCAUCAGGGUUCUUUAUAGGCACAUGAGAUAGAACAGUGACUGACCCAGAUGAAGACUGUACCCCAUAGAGCUUAUACUUUAGGGAAGAAAUGUAUGUAGUAAUAGAGCUUAUAUUCUAGUAGCAACCUUGUUCUUAUACCUAAGCACUUAUAAAUGUUAGAAAUUUAUUAACUGGGAAGUGAUUUGCACCGAGACAACGCUAACACCUUGGUUUCUAUGUAAGCAAACAGUAACCUAGUUCACAGCUAGAAACACAAAGUAAAACCAACCAGAGGGGACUGGAGAGAUGGCUCAGCUGUUAAGAAUGUAUACUGCUCCUGCAGAGGACUCAAGAGCAGU